rnacentral:rRNA from 1 species
UACAGAGGUCUCAAGCGUUGUUCGGAUUCAUUGGGCGUAAAGGGUGCGUAGGCGGCGCGGUAAGUCGGGUGUGAAAUCUUGGAGCUUAACUCCGAAACUGCAUUCGAUACUGCCGUGCUUGAGGACUGGAGAGGAGACUGGAAUUUACGGUGUAGCGGUGAAAUGCGUAGAUAUCGUAAGGAAGACCAGUGGCGAAGGCGGGUCUCUGGACGGAUACUGACGCUGAGGCGCGAAAGCGUGGGGAUCAAACAGG